UGGGGUCCCGGCACUCAGGAUCAGGGACUGCUUAGGUCCCCAUGAACACAGAAUUAGAGUCUGCAGGUGACUACCAAGCUGCUGGGGCCACAGCAGGACCUUGGGCAGGCAGCAAGGUGUCCAGGUUCCACCACUGAUCCUCAACACCCUGCUCACGGCCAGAAUCACACACUCGCUUUUACUGUGGUCACCAAUGCCUCACAGAUGCCUAUCUCUGGCCUCAAAGCGUCUCCCUGUCUGUGGUCCAGCCUCUGCAGCAUAGGAAUUGGCUUCCAGGGCAUGGCCAGCCUCCGUCCCGCUCUGUGCUUUGCAAUUACUUCCAGUAUUACAUAGUUAUUCAGCAAUUGUGACUCUACAAAACCAGUUACCGAAAGUUUCCUAUUUCUGCCUUGGUCAUUUGUUCUACUGCCUAAUAACGUCUCUAUCUGCAGGUUUUCUCGGCAACCGUGCUCGAACAUAGGUGGCCAUGGCAGGUGGAUUCUGUGAGAAGCGGGGGUCUUUGAGCACAGGGCCUACACAGAGACUGUGAGGCCGAGUCUGCCCAGCCAUUGGGAGCAGAGUUGGGGUGAUACAGGAUAAGGCUCUUGGGGACCCUGGACCCCUACUUAGAAGUCAUAUAUGUUGGGCUGGAGAGAUGGCUCAGCAGUUAAGAGCACCAACUGCUCUUCCAGAGGUCCUGAGUUCA